rnacentral:tRNA from 1 species
GGAGCAGUGGAAAUAUCGUGGGACUUGGAAUCCCAAAUACAUGGGUUCGAGUCCCUGCUCUG